GUGGGGAAUAUUGGACAAUGGGGGGAACCCUGAUCCAGCCAUGCCGCGUGUGUGAAGAAGGCCUUUUGGUUGUAAAGCACUUUAAGCGAGGAGGAGGCUACCGAGAUUAAUACUCUUGGAUAGUGGACGUUACUCGCAGAAUAAGCACCGGCUAACUCUGUGCCAGCAGCCGCGGUAAUACAGAGGGUGCAAGCGUUAAUCGGUUCUACUGGGCGUAAAGCUCGCGUAGGUGGCCAAUUAAGUCAAAUGUGAAAUCCCCGGGCUUCACUUGGUAAUUGCAUUCGAUACUGGUUGGCUAGAGUAUGGGAGAGGAUGGUAGAAUUCCAGGUGUAGCGGUGAAAUGCGUACAGAUCUGGAGGAAUACCGAUGGCGAAGGCAGCCAUCUGGCCUAAUACUGACACUGAGGUGCGAAAGCAUGGGGAGCAAACAGGAUUAGAAACCCCAGUAGUCC
rnacentral:rRNA from 1 species